GACGAACGCUGGCGGCGUGCUUAACACAUGCAAGUCGAGCGGAAAGGCCACUUCGGUGGUACUCGAGCGGCGAACGGGUGAGUAACACGUGAGUAAUCUGCCCCUGGCUUUGGGAUAGCCACCGGAAACGGUGAUUAAUACCGGAUACGACCACUUCUCGCAUGGGAUGGUGGUGGAAAGUUUUUUCGGCCAGGGAUGUGCUCGCGGCCUAUCAGCUUGAUGGUGAUGUAAUGGCUCACCAUGGCUUCGACGGGUAGCCGGCCUGAGAGGGUGACUGGUCACACUGGGACUGAGACACGGCCCAGACUCCUGCGGGAGGCAGCAGUGGGGAAUAUUGGACAAUGGGCGGAAGCCUGAUCCAGCAACGCCGCGUGAGGGAUGACGGCCUUCGGGUUGUAAACCUCUUUCAGCAGGGACGAAGCGCAAGUGACGGUACCUGCAGAAGAAGCACCGGCCAACUACGUGCCAGCAGCCGCCGUAA
rnacentral:rRNA from 1 species